rnacentral:rRNA from 1 species
UACGUAGGGUGCAAGCGUUAAUCGGAAUUACUGGGCGUAAAGCGUGCGCAGGCGGUUUUGUAAGUUUGUCGUGAAAUCCCCGGGCUCAACCUGGGAAUGGCGAUGAAGACUGCAAGGCUAGAAUCUGGCAGAGGGGGGUAGAAUUCCACGUGUAGCAGUGAAAUGCGUAGAGAUGUGGAGGAACACCGAUGGCGAAGGCAGCCCCCUGGGUCAAGAUUGACGCUCAUGCA